rnacentral:rRNA from 1 species
UACAGAGGGGGCAAGCGUUAUUCGGAAUUAUUGGGCGUAAAGGGCGCGUAGGCGGCCUGGCAAGUGGAAGGUGAAAUCCCUCGGCUUAACCGAGGAACUGCCCUCCAAACUGCUUGGCUUGAGUCCGGGAGAGGUGAGUGGAAUUCCCAGUGUAGCGGUGAAAUGCGUAGAUAUUGGGAGGAACACCGGUGGCGAAGGCGGGACUCUGGGCCGAUACUGACGCUGAGGAGCGAAAGCGUGGGGAGCGAACAGG